rnacentral:lncRNA from 1 species
AACAUUUACUAUAGAAUCCUAAAACAGCCCAUAUGAUCAAACACUAUUUACACAUAACAUGGGCCAUGGCUAGUGAGAAGCAUAAAUUAAUUACUCAAAAAAAACCCACUACCCACUGAUCAGAAGGCAAAAAUAAAAAAUAAAAAGGACCCUACUAACCCAGAAUUUGAUAGUUUUCUAUGUUACAAUCAAACAAAGCCUCCCC